rnacentral:rRNA from 1 species
CAGUAGCCGCGGUAACACGAAGGGUGCAAGCGUUACUCGGAAUUACUGGGCGUAAAGCGUGCGUAGGUGGUUGUUUAAGUCUGCUGUGAAAGCCCUGGGCUCAACCUGGGAAUUGCAGUGGAUACUGGGCAACUAGAGUAAGGUAGAGGAUAGUGGAAUUUCCGGUGUAGCAGUGAAAUGCGUAGAGAUCGGAAGGAACAUCUGUGGCGAAGGCGACUAUCUGGGCCAUUACUGACACUGAGGCACGAAAGCGUGGGGAGCAAACAGGAUUAGAUACCCCCGUAGUCCCUGUCUCUUAUAC